CUGUGCCAGUGUGUCAGACACCAGAGGGAGAGAGGAAAACAGCCAAUACAAAAGGGAAUGAUCCCUGGCUCAAGAUGAGAAGGAAGGAGAGCUCUCUAUGUUCGUAGUCCAGCCAUAUAGGAUGCUUGGCCAAAAUGAAGGUAUAGAAAAGGAACAACCAAAGAAAGAACAGGACAUACUGGAUCUUUCUGGGUAUCAUCAAACUUCUCCAUCCAAGAAUAAGGGACAGCAGCAUCUCUUUGACAUCCAUAGCCCAUUUCUGCUUUGCCAAUAUCACUUGUGCAUCUGGGGCCACCAAUGCAUCCUAUCCUAGCAAGUAUCAAUGGGAAUAAAGAAGAAACUUAGAAAACGACAAAAUUCAAGAAGAGCUGAAGCUCUGGAGCUAGCUUUGGUGGAGAAAGAAUGAUGCGGGAUGUUGGACUAAGCGAGAAAUGCAUAAGAAGCUGGAAACCAGAAAGCAAGGAGACCCACUAACAUGGCCUACUCUGGUCGGCCUCUGGGCACAAAGGAGGGUGAAGAAAGGAUGGGAGCAGACAUGGAGGCACCAAUGGAAAGUACCAGAACACUUAAAAAAUUGAACUUUUAUGUUAUUACUCAAUGUUACUUUUAUAUUAUUAAUCAGUAUUUACUGAGCCCAACCCCUAUGAUAGUUCUACAAUGUAUUACUCUUAAAAUCUAAGCUAGACCUGAAAUCCUAUAUUCUGUUUUAAGCUAUUACCUCUCAAUAGGAAAAGAGAGGUGUUGAGUGUCACCUUAAUCCUUCCUGAGAUAAACAUUCAAAUCAAUCUCUCUACAGAUUGCCCAUAACCUUGUUCUUGUCUGUAUUAAUACAUUCCUGUUGUCUGUCUUUAUUUCUGUUUACACUAUGUAAAUGUUAUAGAAUCAUCAAACUUUAGAAAUAGAUUUGAGAUAACAGAUUAAAUUAGGGAUACCAACUACUCUUUCAUUCCACAGAUAUUUACUGAGCCUGGAUUUUAUCAUCCAUGCCAACUAUAAGUGAUGAGUAGUGGCGACCUACAGCAUUGCACUGAGAGAAACUGAAAGCUGUACUCAUACAAGCUAGGAAACUGACUAUUCCAGCUGAGGGAAAGGAAGAGUGAACCCACAUACCAGAAACCUACUUUAUCUCGCCAAACACAAAUAUGGGAUGCCUAGUUAAGUUUGAA
rnacentral:lncRNA from 1 species